UACCAUAAGGUAAUUUCCUGUCUUUCUGCCUUUGAACAAUACGUAAAUUUGUAUGUGUACCUGAUAAAAUAUAAUUUAAAAACGUUAGAAUGUUGUUUUUUAAUACUAGAAGAGUGCUCAGAAAGCUUUUCUGUCAGGGGAUUGUAAAUAUUUUGGGCUUUGCAAGUCAUAGGUCUCUAUUGUAGCAGUAUAAUUCUGGGGAAGCCUUAAAUCAGUAUGUAGAGGAAAAUGUGGCUGUGUCCAGUGACAUUGUAUUUACAAAAACAGAUGAUGGUGGUUUUAUACUAGAUUGUCAGUAGUUAAAAGUAUUUCUUUUCUUUUUUAGCGACAAGAAGCAAAGGAGUUACAAACAAAGGUUGUAGUCUGAGAAUAAAUAUUUUAAAAUACGCAUUUUAGGCUUGAAGUUGAAAAUGCCGAGUUAAAAGUUACAGUCAAGGAGCAAGCAGGCCAAAUUGAACAGCUUCAGAAAGACCUGUUAAGUUCAAGUUCGUGUGGUGAUGAAAAGGAAAACCUAAAGAAAUGUAUGGAGUUAAAACAGCCUUUGCAGUUCAGGUUGGAUCAAGAAGUGAAGAAAAAUGAGGAAUUGGAAAAAGAGAAUACUGGGUAAGACUAAUAUUUCACAUCACUUUAACCAUUAAUUAACUAAUUUAUCUGUAAUUGUAGUUUAUAAAAACCUAAAUAGAAAUUCUUGCCAAAAUACUACAUUUACUCUUCCGUGAUUCCUUAAAUAAUAACAACAAUGCCUUUGACAUAUAUUGUCAACUGCGCUUUUCAUUGUCCACCGUGAAUUUUUUCUGCAAGAUAUCUUUGUUCUUAGGUAAUCUUUCCUUUUAAUAGUGUUCUUUUCUUAGAGCAGAUAUCCUAAUCUCUAAAAACUUAACUGUGUCAUAUAACAACAUCAAAAGUUAUCUUGGAUUUGCUUGUAUUUCUU
rnacentral:lncRNA from 12 species